AACGUAGGACGCAAACGUUAUCCGGAAUUACUGGGCGUAAAGGGCGCGCAGGCGGAUCGAUAAGUGAGGCAUGAAAGCUUCGGGCUAAACCUGGAGAGGCUGUCUGAGACUGUCGAUCUGGAGUGCGAUAGAGGGGUGUAGAAUUCCGCGUGUAGUGGUGAAAUGCGUAGAGAUGCGGAGGAAUACCAGAGGCGAAGGCGGCACCCGGGAUCGUAACUGACGCUGAGGCGCGAAAGCAUGGGGAGCGAACGGG
rnacentral:rRNA from 1 species